AGAGUUUGAUCCUGGCUCAGAGCGAACGCUGGCGGCAGGCUUAACACAUGCAAGUCGAGCGGACGUAGCAAUACGUCAGCGGCAGACGGGUGAGUAACGCGUGGGAACGUACCUUUUGGUUCGGAACAACACAGGGAAACUUGUGCUAAUACCGGAUAAGCCCUUACGGGGAAAGAUUUAUCGCCGAAAGAUCGGCCCGCGUCUGAUUAGCUAGUUGGUGAGGUAACGGCUCACCAAGGCGACGAUCAGUAGCUGGUCUGAGAGGAUGAUCAGCCACAUUGGGACUGAGACACGGCCCAAACUCCUACGGGAGGCAGCAGUGGGGAAUAUUGGACAAUGGGCGCAAGCCUGAUCCAGCCAUGCCGCGUGAGUGAUGAAGGCCCUAGGGUUGUAAAGCUCUUUUGUGCGGGAAGA
rnacentral:rRNA from 1 species